rnacentral:lncRNA from 10 species
GUAACAGGAAAAAGAAACAUGAAUGUAGAAAUAUGCUGUGUGUUGGGCCAUUCCUGGGAGUAACUGUGGCUCAGUGUCCCCCUCUUUUGAGACAUGUCUCGGAACCAUCACCCUUGGGGAAAUGAAGAGCGGAUGCAUUUAUCCAACAGAUCCAGUCCCCCUUUGGUUAGGGUGCCUCCGCCAGCAUUAACCUCUCAGUCCAUCCUUUAAAGCUGAGCAACAUUCUGAAGUCAGCCAGAGAAGCCCCAUGGCAGAAAGAAUUACUUGCACAAAUACCGUGGAGAUUGGCAUGGAAAUGUCUGCACAGACUGCAGGGCUAGGAGGAUGGGCAAUUGUGUAAAGAGGUUCUCAAUGUGCAACAUGCCCACUCACUCCCAGCCACAGGAGAGAUGAGAAACUUGGAGCUCAGAGACAUCCGUUAACUUAAAGUGGCUGAAGGGGGACUCCAAUCAGGGCAACCCACCUUAGAGUCCUCUGCUGUCCACCACUGAGCUGGGAAAUGAAGACUCUGCACAUAGCAUUUCAUCUGGCUGAUCCUUGGAGUCCCAGUCUGUAAGUUUGUGUCAACAUCCUCUGCCUCUUCUGUAGGAUGACCAAAUGAAAAAUCGAUGAAAAUUCAUUCAUACGCAGGGGUUUAAUUUUUUUUAUUUUCAUGAGGCAAAAACAAACAACAACAACAACAAUAAACCAACCCGACAAUAUAAUAGCCUGGUCCCAGGCAUCAGAGGAUGGGACUAAUAGGUUUCAAAGCCACAUUCAUGACUUGGGAGAUUCUGCUUGAACAGACAAGCUGCCCCAGGCAUCCUGGAGAUGAAAAGCAGGGCAGAAUAUAUGACUGAAGUGAACUCCACUCGACCUUCAAAUCCAACCCCUCCGAAGAGAAUAUUCCAAGAAUCAAGCAAAACCUGGGAGGUCAAGGAUGUUUCAUCUGCGUUUCCCCAUUCUCUUAGAUUGUCUCUUCUUUCCUCAAGUCUCAUAGAAUCUGAGAGUUAGAAGGUUCUCAAAGGUCAUCUCAAGCACAAUGCUUUGUGAAAUUUGAAGUCCAGCUACAAUAUGCCCAAUAAGCAUUUAUCCAGACUCAAGAGUCCCCAUUGCUGGAGAAUUGGAAUUUAAUAAUACCAAACAUAGCCCAAUCCAUUUUGGAACAAAUCUACUUGUGAGGAAGUUAUUUUAUUGUUGUUUGUUUUACAGCAUGCUGUAGGUGGUCUCUUUGAAUUCCAUCUAAAUACAACUUUUUGUAGUACAGUACUGCAAAUCAUCUAUUCUAAAGAUGCAUAUGUGUUUACACUGUAUCUGUGAACAUUCAUAACAAUUGAAGACACUUCUGAUUGUGCUUGGCUGGGCAGCAGACACGACGUUGUUGCUUAUGCAUGUGUGAGACAGGCUGUUUCAGGUAGUGUGAUAAAAAUUCUCUCAAUAUUUCAGUCAAACUAUUUAAGAGUCUUUGGAAUAAGGAAUAUAAGCCUUCUAUGUCUUAAAAAAAAUUUAUGGAGAUUUUUUGAAAAUCAUGAAAGCACCAGAUUCAAAACAUUCAGAAGGCAUCUUGGAAGAAAAAAAAAAUCUCAGGAGACAAUAGUGGAGGACUCUAAACAAAGUUGUAUUACAGUAUUCUUAAGAGUAAAAUCAAUGGGACGAUAGAGCAAAACUGCUCAACUAAUAUACCUAAUUCAUAGAAUGUAAUAGCUAUUUAGGAAAUGAAACAUUUAUUGUUGAUUUAUGAUGUGCUACUAACUCUGCUAAGCCCUUUCCAUAUUUUAUUCUACUUGAUCCACCCCAAGACCUAAUGAGGUAGUUAGCACAGGGCCACUAUCCCUUAUCCAAAACUUUUAGGCCAAAUUUUGAAAUUCAUAACUAUUUUUAUUAUUUAAGAAUAUAUAGUAUAUGUAUUGUAUCUUGUUUAACCCCACCAGCAGGGUCUGGGAUAGCAUGCUGUAAUCAAACACAUUAAUAUUUUGCAACAAAAUAUGUGCAUAUUCACAGACUGUGGGAUAAAGAAAUAUCAUAGUAAGUCUCCAGUCUCCCGUCUCAUGCCAGUUUAGGUCAAAGAUGAGUUUGUGAUGGGCUUAUGAAAAUGUUUUCUGUUCUCAGGUAUUUGGGGAUUUUAGAUAUGCAAAUUAGUGGUUUGGAAUUUGUAUUAGUGUCUCCAUUUUGCUAAUAAACAAAGUGAGGCUUUGUAAGUAGUUCCCCCUGACGCACACAGCUCAGAGUGUGGAGUUGGGUCUGAGACAAUCAAGGUCUUAACAACGAUGCUUGGCUGCCUCAGUGAAGCAUCCAUCUGCCAGGAGGUUGGGGGUCACUGCCAUGGGCCCUGAGUCUUCUCUUCUUUAGACUGAUCACUUGCCCAUAACUAUCUCUAGACUUCUUGCCACAAUGGCUCUCCUUUGAACACCCCAUGGUUUCUCACUUCUUAAACCACUGUAAGUAUGAAGUCUCCAUGAGGGGAGACUUAACUAACUGCUAAUAGAAGAACAGAAAGAACAGAAAGGUGUGUGGAGUUCCACGCUCCAACAGCAUCUACCACUUGCUCAAUGAAGUUUUUCAAAAAUAAAAAUAUUUUCUAAGCAGAUGAUGUGGCUCUUUUAUCGUGCUCAUCAUUUUAGAGAGAAAAAGAUCAAAGAUAGAGCCACCAUAGGUUCCAAACCCAAGGUUUGGGAAACUCCAUUCCAGUUCUAUUAAAAUUGCAGCUUUUUCAUAUAAAUUUCCCUGGAGAAGAAAUAUCAUAGGAGUUUUAAUAAUAAUAAAGUACAGGUUCUGUAGCCAACUCAUCUGGUUUGAAUCUCGUUCUGACACUUCCUAGCUGUGUAAUCUUAAGCAAAUUACUUAACCUCUCUGUGCCUCUGUUUUUCUAACAAAUGGGGGCAAUGAUAUGACCUACCUUUGAG